CCUGUAGCUCAAUGGUGAGUGCCGUCGGCUCAUAACCGAUUGAUUGCAGGUUCGAGCCCUGCCGGG
rnacentral:tRNA from 1 species